CAGGCCUAACACAUGCAAGUCGAACGAAGGCUUCGGCCUUAGUGGCGCACGGGUGCGUAACGCGUGGGAAUCUGCCCUUGGGUUCGGAAUAACAGCGAGAAAUUGCUGCUAAUACCGGAUAACGACGUAAGUCCAAAGAUUUAUCGCCGAGGGAUGAGCCCGCGUAGGAUUAGCUAGUUGGUGGGGUAAAGGCCUACCAAGGCGACGAUCCUUAGCUGGUCUGAGAGGAUGAUCAGCCACACUGGGACUGAGACACGGCCCAGACUCCUACGGGAGGCAGCAGUGGGGAAUAUUGGACAAUGGGCGCAAGCCUGAUCCAGCCAUGCCGCGUGAGUGAUGAAGGCCUUAGGGUUGUAAAGCUCUUUUAUCCGGGACGAUAAUGACGGUAUCGGAGGAAUAAGCCCCGGCUAACUUCGUGCCAGCAGCCGCGGU
rnacentral:rRNA from 1 species